ACAGGGGAGAGUUUGAUCCUGGCUCAGGAUGAACGCUAGCGGCAGGCCUAACACAUGCAAGUCGAGGGGCAGCAUGGCGUAGCGAUAC
rnacentral:rRNA from 1 species